UUGUAAUCAGUGCACCUCCCAUUCGAAUGCGUAGGCUAUAGUCAACGGUAGGCAGCAGGCUAUCCAGGUGUCACCUACCACUUUUUACAUGUGAGCUUCAGUCAGUAUAAUUGUUUGAAACCUUGUCAUGUUAGCAAUCCAUCCUAGUUGUUGCUAUUAGAUUCCCCCGCUUCCUAAGUUUCUAACUGAGAUGUUCGUCUCUGUCACGUAUGGAACCUCUCCCAUUAGGUGCACUGUUUACAAUGGGGGUUUCCUGUGAAAUGUCUGGGUCCAGGCCACUGUUUAGAAUGGUGUUUUCCUGUGAAAUGUCUGGGUCCAGGCCACUGUUUAGAAUGGUGUUUUCCUGUGAAAUGUCUGGGUCCAGGCCACUGUUUAGAAUGGGGGUUUCCUGUGAAAUGUCUUGGUCCAGGCCACUGUUUAGAAUGGUGUUUUCCUGUGAAAUGUCUGGGUCCAGGCCACUGUUUAGAAUGGUGUUUUCCUGUGAAAUGUCUGGGUCCAGGCCACUGUUUAGAAUGGUGUUUUCCUGUGAAAUGUCUGGGUCCAGGCCACUGUUUACAAUGGUGUUUUCCUGUGAAAUGUC
rnacentral:lncRNA from 1 species